rnacentral:misc_RNA from 1 species
AAGUCGUAACAAGGUUUCCGUAGGUGAACCUGCGGAAGGAUCAUUAACAAAUUCUAAUAUUUACCACCUGUGAACCAACCUCUUUUGAGGUGUUGAGUGAUUGCGUUUCGUCGUCACUUGACAAAUUAACUAUAUAAUUGUCUAUUUUAAAAAUUAAAUUUAAAACAACUUUUAACAAUGGAUCUCUUGGCUCUU